UUCUCACAGAUGUAAAGAAUGUUGUCAGCUUGACAGUUGAACACAUUCCUGAUCUUCCCCACGAUCAUGAGAGCUAGAGUGGUCUUCCCUGAUCCAGGGACCUGCUAGGCUACUAGUCCUUCCUCGUCUCUUCUAUAAUGAGCCAUGACAGCUAUGCACGUCCAGAGCUUCCAGCAUCUGCUUCUACUAGCACAUGCAGAGAGCGCACCGCAAAAUGAGGUCAACUGGGAGGAAUGCAGAGACCAGAUGUGGAACUAAGAGGAAGAAAAACACACAGACACAGAAUAAGACUGGUAAUGACAUUGAACGGAGCUGGAUCUAGCAAGUCAGACCUCUCUGUGGGUGACUAACACAUAUUCAUUAAUCUUUAUUUAUGUUCUGCUCAGG
rnacentral:lncRNA from 1 species